rnacentral:rRNA from 1 species
GACGAACGCUGGCGGCGUGCUUAACACAUGCAAGUCGAACGGUGAAGCGCCUUCCUUUUUGGUGGGUGUGGAUGAGUGGCGAACGGGUGAGUAACACGUGAGUAACCUGCCCCCUUCUUCUGGAUAACCGCAUGAAAGUGUGGCUAAUACGGGAUAUUCUGGGUCUGUCGCAUGAUGGGUCUGGGAAAGAUAUUGUUUCGGUGGGGGAUGGGCUCGCGGCCUAUCAGCUUGUUGGUGGGGUGAUGGCCUACCAAGGCGGUGACGGGUAGCCGGCCUGAGAGGGUGGACGGUCACACUGGGACUGAGACACGGCCCAGACUUCUACGGGAGGCAGCAGUGGGGAAUAUUGCACAAUGGGCGCAAGCCUGAUGCAGCGACGCCGCGUGAGGGAUGGAGGCCUUCGGGUUGUGAACCUCUUUCGCCAGUGAAGCAGGCCUGCCUCGUUUGUGGGUGGGUUGACGGUAGCUGGAUAAGAAGCGCCGGCUAACUACGUG